GACGAACGCUGGCGGCGUGCUUAACACAUGCAAGUCGAACGGAAAGGCCCUGCUUUUGUGGGGUGCUCGAGUGGCGAACGGGUGAGUAACACGUGAGUAACCUGCCCUUGACUUUGGGAUAACUUCAGGAAACUGGGGCUAAUACCGGAUAGGAGCGCCUGCUGCAUGGUGGGGGUUGGAAAGUUUCGGCGGUUGGGGAUGGACUCGCGGCUUAUCGGCUUGUUGGUGGGGUAGUGGCUUACCAAGGCUUUGACGGGUAGCCGGCCUGAGAGGGUGACCGGCCACAUUGGGACUGAGAUACGGCCCAGACGCCUACGGGAGGAAGCAGUGGGGAAUAUUGCACAAUGGGAGGAAGCCUGAUGCAGCAACGCCGCGUGCGGGAUGACGGCCUUCGGGUUGUAAACCGCUUUCGCCUGUGACGAAGCGUGAGUGACGGUAAUGGGUAAAGAAGCACCGGCUAACUACGUG
rnacentral:rRNA from 1 species